CCUACGGGAGGCAGCAGUGGGGAAUAUUGGACAAUGGGGGCAACCCUGAUCCAGCCAUGCCGCGUGUGUGAAGAAGGCCUUUUGGUUGUAAAGCACUUUAAGCAGUGAAGAAGACUCCAUGGUUAAUACCCAUGGACGAUGACAUUAGCUGCAGAAUAAGCACCGGCUAACUCUGUGCCAGCAGCCGCGGUAAUACAGAGGGUGCAAGCGUUAAUCGGAAUUACUGGGCGUAAAGCGAGCGUAGGUGGCUUGAUAAGUCAGAUGUGAAAGCCCCGGGCUUAACCUGGGAACGGCAUCUGAUACUGUUAGGCUAGAGUAGGUGAGAGGAAGGUAGAAUUCCAGGUGUAGCGGUGAAAUGCGUAGAGAUCUGGAGGAAUACCGAUGGCGAAGGCAGCCUUCUGGCAUCAUACUGACACUGAGGUUCGAAAGCGUGGGUAGCAAACAGGAUUAGAUACCCUGGUAGUCCACGCCGUAAACGAUGUCUACUAGUCGUUGGGUCCCUUGAGGACUUAGUGACGCAGCUAACGCAAUAAGUAGACCGCCUGGGGAGUACGGCCGCAAGGUUAAAACUCAAAUGAAUUGACGG
rnacentral:rRNA from 1 species